UUGUACCUACGGGAGGCAGCAGUGAGGAAUAUUGGUCAAUGGGCGGAAGCCUGAACCAGCCAAGUCGCGUGAGGGAAUAAGGCCCUAUGGGUUGUAAACCUCUUUUGUCGGGGAGCAAAAGCCGGACGUGUCCGGCUGUGAGAGUACCCGAAGAAAAAGCAUCGGCUAACUCCGUGCCAGCAGCCGCGGUAAUACGGAGGAUGCGAGCGUUAUCCGGAUUUAUUGGGUUUAAAGGGUGCGCAGGCGGAUUUUUAAGUCAGCGGUCAAAUCGUGGGGCUCAACCCCAUCCAGCCGUUGAAACUGGG
rnacentral:rRNA from 1 species